rnacentral:rRNA from 1 species
GAAAUGACGUGUACUGACAAUAGCUCUGCUACUCCGUGCCACAGCCGCGGUAAGACGGAGGAUGCAGUGUUAUCCGGAAUUACUGGGGCGUAAAGCGUCUGUAGGUGGUUUAAUAAGUCAACUGUUAAAUCUUGAGGCUUAACUUCAAACCAGCAGUCGAAACUAUUAGACUAGAGUAUAGUAGGGGUAAAGGGAAUUUCCAGUGGAGCGGUGUAAUGCGUAGAUAUUGGAAAGAACACCGAUGGCGAAAGCACUUAACUGGGCUAUUACUAACACUCAGAGACGAAAGCUAGGGUAGCAAAUGGGAUUAGAUACCCCAGUAGUCCUAGCUGUAAACAAUGGAUAACCCCUAGCAUGUUGAACAGAUCGAUCUGUGCAGUAUUAAAGCUAACGCGUUAAGUAUCCCGGCU